GUGAUUAUCCUACUGUGGCUUCUACAUGAGAAUGGAGUUUUUGAUCUUGUGUAUGACAGGUCCGUCAACAGUAAUUUUUAGAAUUGAACUUUUACUCAUUGACUUCAGGUUUAGCAGUUGGAAAUCAACUUGGUUUGAUCUGUGUAUAUAACCUCAAUUCCAGUUCAAAAGAUACAAUCCUACACAUUGUCACAACAAUAAAACAAGAAGGUACCUUUUGUGUUAGGUAUAUGUUUUUUAAUAUGUUUCUUUAUUUUCAUAAUGUUUAAACUGUUUUCAAUUUACUAACAAGCUGAAAAUGUUGAGCCCAAGUCUAGUGUGUGUUUCCACUUUCUUGAUUCCCCUGUUGAAGCACUUCAAUAUAUGGACCAUGGAGCUAAGCUAGCUGUUUUUGAACAAUUGAAUUUGUAAACUUUUGAUAUUGUUUGUUUUGUUAAUUAGUAUUUACUUUUGUAAGAUAUUUUGAACAAUGGAAAGGAAUGUGUCAAAGUUGAUAUAAGGGAU